rnacentral:rRNA from 1 species
GAAACUUACAAGGAUUCCCCUAGUAACGGCGAGCGAACCGGGAAUAGCCCAACUUGAGAAUCGGGCGACCAUGUCACUCGAAUUGUAGUCUG